GAGGGCGCCGCCGAGGAGCGAGUGGCCGCGGGCAGCGCUGGCAGCGCCGGUCGUUCGCUGCCUAAGGCGUUUCACGGAGCAGGUGCGGUCUAACGCCUUGAGAACGCACAGAGAGGCGAUCGCACUGGAGCAGCACAGUGACGUUCCCCAGUCCAGCAUCUUUUUCUUUAUAUUGAGCCAGGAAUCAUUCAGCGAGGACUCCGCGUGUAGAAAUGCAGCACCAGAUGAAUAUACAACAAGCACUGUUGUAAUGAAAUACAUGUUAAUAAAUUAUUCUAUUUGUGUAAAAAGAGAUUGAUGUUUCUGUAUAUCCAGAUGGGAUCCCACUUACGCGUUGGCAGAGGGGAAAUGACUUUUUGGAAUAGCCCUCCAUCCACUGAUAUGUGUGAAAUACAUAAAAAUGGACAGAUGGGAUAAAUCUUUGUAUCCACUUUCAGGUUUUUCCCUUACUUUCAUAAACUGUCUAGAUUUUCGAUAUGAAAUUUAGAGCAAGAUUAUGUUUAGGAUUCUUUUAAUGUUGAGAAUAGCUGAAUUAGGAAACAGAUGGUUUAGGAGUUGCUCCCAAAGCAUAGCGAUGUUGCUAUACUGGCCAUGAGAACAAAGUCUUAGAGCUGAAUCAAGCUUCAAGCCUCUAACAAGGUAGGUAAAAGCUUUAAAAAUGGUCUGAGAGAGUUGUGCCAGAAGCUGCUCUGUUUGUUCUGAAUCCCUUGGAUGAAACCAGCAGACAUCCCUGAUACCAUCUCCCAAGGUUGAGUUUUGUCCAACUGGUAGAUAAAGAGAAGGGGGUGGGGGGAAGCACCUGAGCUAGAAGGCAAAUGCUAUAGCAGAACAUGCAAGAGUUAAGCCAAAAUAAGAGUAAUGACGUGUUUUGCAUUUAGCUCUGCAGAUGUCUGUGGGAGUGUUGUGUCAGCAGCACCAUAAACGUGCGUAAGAGGUGUAAGGGAAGCACGUGUUGCAUUGUUUGCCCAGUGACGGCACUCCUGGGUUCUCUGAGCAGGCUGUUAACACGCUUAUCAGUGUCAUUAGUUUAAAGGUGCAAUUGCUUUUGCAUCUUGGGAAAAUUGGGGUUUAAUCCAACAUUGGGUGUGUCAUUAAGUGGUAUAGUGAAGGAAGUAGUAAGUCAAAGUGGUAGACCAGGCAAAGAGGUAACUUCUGUCAUCAGUUUCAGUGACUUCAUCUCAGAGUUUUAAUAAGUAAGGGAAAGCGGAUUCACAGAGCUUUAUCCUAAGUAAUAGGAUGAGGAAAAAAUACUUUCUGAUACAGGAUGGGAAGGAGCUAUAGUUUAAUACUGAGAAUUA
rnacentral:lncRNA from 1 species